rnacentral:rRNA from 1 species
UACGAGGGGGGCAAGCGUUGUUCGGAAUUAUUGGGCGUAAAGGGUGCGUAGGCGGGUCUUUAAGUCAGGGGUGAAAUCCUGGAGCUCAACUCCAGAACUGCCUUUGAUACUGAGGAUCUUGAGUUCGGGAGAGGUGAGUGGAACUGCGAGUGUAGAGGUGAAAUUCGUAGAUAUUCGCAAGAACACCAGUGGCGAAGGCGGCUCACUGGCCCGAUACUGACGCUGAGGCACGAAAGCGUGGGGAGCAAACAGG